CACGUGAGUAACCUGCCCCUGAUUUCGGGAUAAGCCUGGGAAACUGGGUCUAAUACCGGAUACGACCUCCUGACGCAUGUUGGGUGGUGGAAAGUUUUUCGAUCGGGGAUGGGCUCGCGGCCUAUCAGCUUGUUGGUGGGGUAAUGGCCUACCAAGGCGACGACGGGUAGCCGGCCUGAGAGGGCGACCGGCCACACUGGGACUGAGACACGGCCCAGACUCCUACGGGAGGCAGCAGUGGGGAAUAUUGCACAAUGGGGGAAACCCUGAUGCAGCGACGCAGCGUGCGGGAUGACGGCCUUCGGGUUGUAAACCGCUUUCAGCAGGGAAGAAGCGAAAGUGACGGUACCUGCAGAAGAAGUACCGGCUAACUACGUGCCAGCAGCCGCGGUAAUACGUAGGGUACGAGCGUUGUCCGGAAUUAUUGGGCGUAAAGAGCUCGUAGGUGGUUGGUCACGUCUGCUGUGGAAACGCAACGCUUAACGUUGCGCGUGCAGUGGGUACGGGCUGACUAGAGUGCAGUAGGGGAGUCUGGAAUUCCUGGUGUAGCGGUGAAAUGCGCAGAUAUCAGGAGGAACACCGGUGGCGAAGGCGGGACUCUGGGCUGUAACUGACACUGAGGAGCGAAAGCAUGGGGAGCGAACAGGAUUAGAUACCCUGGUAGUCCAUGCCGUAAACGUUGGGCACUAGGUGUGGGGGACAUUCCACGUUCUCCGCGCCGUAGCUAACGCAUUAAGUGCCCCGCCUGGGGAGUACGGUCGCAAGGCUAAAACUCAAAGGAAUUGACGGGGGCCCGCACAAGCGGCGGAGCAUGCGGAUUAAUUCGAUGCAACGCGAAGAACCUUACCAAGGCUUGACAUACACUGGACCGUUCUGGAAACAGUUCUUCUCUUUGGAGCUGGUGUACAGGUGGUGCAUGGUUGUCGUCAGCUCGUGUCGUGAGAUGUUGGGUUAAGUCCCGCAACGAGCGCAACCCUCGUUCUAUGUUGCCAGCACGUGAUGGUGGGAACUCAUAGGAGACUGCCGGGGUCAACUCGGAGGAAGGUGGGGAUGACGUCAAAUCAUCAUGCCCUUUAUGUCUUGGGCUUCACGCAUGCUACAAUGGCUGGUACAGAGAGAGGCGAACCCGUGAGGGUAAGCGAAUCCCUUAAAGCCAGUCUCAGUUCGGAUCGUAGUCUGCAAUUCGACUACGUGAAGUCGGAGUCGCUAGUAAUCGCAGAUCAGCAACG
rnacentral:rRNA from 1 species